AAAAGUCGUAACAAGGUUUCCGUAGGUGAACCUGCGGAAGGAUCAUUACCGAGUGAGGGCCCUCUGGGUCCAACCUCCCACCCGUGUUUAUUUUACCUUGUUGCUUCGGCGGGCCCGCCUUAACUGGCCGCCGGGGGGCUCACGCCCCCGGGCCCGCGCCCGCCGAAGACACCCUCGAACUCUGUCUGAAGAUUGAAGUCUGAGUGAAAAUAUAAAUUAUUUAAAACUUUCAACAACGGAUCUCUUGGUUCCGGCAUCGAUGAAGAACGCAGCGAAAUGCGAUACGUAAUGUGAAUUGCAAAUUCAGUGAAUCAUCGAGUCUUUGAACGCACAUUGCGCCCCCUGGUAUUCCGGGGGGCAUGCCUGUCCGAGCGUCAUUGCUGCCCUCAAGCCCGGCUUGUGUGUUGGGCCCCGUCCUCCGAUUUCCGGGGGACGGGCCCGAAAGGCAGCGGCGGCACCGCGUCCGGUCCUCGAGCGUAUGGGGCUUUGUCACCCGCUCUGUAGGCCCGGCCGGCGCUUGCCGAUCAACCCAAAUUUUUAUCCAGGUUGACCUCGGAUCAGGUAGGGAUACCCGCUGAACUUA
rnacentral:sRNA from 1 species